rnacentral:lncRNA from 1 species
GGACGGACCGCUGACAAUUGAAGCAGAGAUACCACAGAUAGACACUCUCCCUUACUUAGGUGAGGGGGACGAUUUGGCUUGAGACUGUGUCCGUCGAAAAGGGAAGGGAAACAGUUGAGGUAUGGAAUAGAACCAGGGGAGCAAGGAGGUUCAGGUAAAAGGUGGGGGGCGUGGUGGUAAAGCCGUUCGUAGGGGGAAAACAAAAAGG